rnacentral:lncRNA from 10 species
CUCAAUGACUACAAGAUGCCUGCAGUCAUAGGUUAUUUCAAAGAAGAUAAUACUGCAAAGCGCUUGGAAUAUGCAUAUGUUUACAUGCUUCAAAUGAUGCGGAAUCAGAAAGCAGCGAUUGAAACUUACUAACCCGACCUGCUAGUCUUUGAACUGAAGCUCUUUGCUGCCCUCUGUAGAUACCUAGAGAUGAAAACGGCAAAGUCAACAUUCACUUUCUCAGUUAUGGUAAUUUUGUUCUGUAAUCUUAAUAGAAAAAUAGACUAAACAGAAGGUGUUUCAAUUAAAGGGAAAUUAAGGAUCGUUUUUUCCUAUAA